rnacentral:sRNA from 6 species
UAUCCCCCAAACCAAGGGGGGAUGAGAACCACCGACCGGGGUUCGACAACUGGCGCAGCCAGUUGGACAGACGACGAGCCUGCGAGGAGACUGCCCGAAGGGCGAGCGCAGCGAGUCAAUCCCCCCCUCUCCGCCA